rnacentral:rRNA from 1 species
GACGAACGCUGGCGGCGUGCUUAACACAUGCAAGUCGAACGAAGUGGCGAACGGGUGAGUAACGCGUCAUCAACCUGCCCUUCAGAGGGGGACAACAGUUGGAACCGACUGCUAAUACCGCAUACUGAAGGAGGGGAUUGCGUGUGAUUAGCUAGUUGGAGGGGUAACGGCCCACCAAGGCGAUGACCAGUAGCCGGGCUGGGAGGGUGGACCGGCAAAUGGGGACUGAGGAACGGCCCCGACUCCUACGGGAGGCAGCAGUGGGGAAUCUUCCGCAAUGGACGAAAGGCUGACGGAGCAACGCCGCGUGAGUGAUGACGGCCUUCGGGUUGGAAAGCUCUGUUAAUCGGGACGCGGUACCGGAAUAGAAAGCCACGGCUAACUACGUGCCAGCAGCCGCGGUAAUUC